rnacentral:rRNA from 1 species
AGAGUUUGAUCCUGGCUCAGAUUGAACGCUGGCGGCAGGCCUAACACAUGCAAGUCGAACGGUAGCACAGAGGAGCUUGCUUCUCUGCUGACGAGCGGCGGACGGGUGAGUAAUGUAUGGGGAUCUGCCUGAUGGAGGGGGAUAACUACUGGAAACGGUAGCUAAUACCGCAUAAUGUCCACGGACCAAAGCGGGGGACCUUCGGGCCUCGCACCAUCAGAUGAACCCAUAUGGGAUUAGCUAGUAGGUAAGGUAACGGCUUACCUAGGCGACGAUCCCUAGCUGGUCUGAGAGGAUGAUCAGCCACACUGGGACUGAGACACGGCCCAGACUCCUACGGGAGGCAGCAGUGGGGAAUAUUGCACAAUGGGCGCAAGCCUGAUGCAGCCAUGCCGCGUGUAUGAAGAAGGCCUUCGGGUUGUAAAGUACUUUCAGCGAGGAGGAAGGCAUUAAGGUUAAUAACCUUAGUGAUUGACGUUACUCGCAGAAGAAGCACCGGCUAACUCCGUGCCAGCCGCCGCGGUAAUUC